GACGAACGCUGGCGGCGUGCUUAACACAUGCAAGUCGAACGAAGAGCGAUGGAAGCUUGCUUCUAUCAAUCUUAGUGGCGAACGGGUGAGUAACGCGUAAUCAACCUGCCCUUCAGAGGGGGACAACAGUUGGAAACGACUGCUAAUACCGCAUACGAUCUGACCUCGGCAUCGAGGAUAGAUGAAAGGUGGCCUCUACAUGUAAGCUAUCACUGAAGGAGGGGAUUGCGUCUGAUUAGCUAGUUGGAGGGGUAACGGCCCACCAAGGCGAUGAUCAGUAGCCGGUCUGAGAGGAUGAACGGCCACAGUGGGACUGAGACACGGCCCAGACUCCUACGGGAGGCAGCAGUGGGGAAUCUUCCGCAAUGGACGAAAGUCUGACGGAGCAACGCCGCGUGAGUGAUGACGGCCUUCGGGUUGUAAAGCUCUGUUAAUCGGGACGAAAGGCCUUUUUGCGAAUAGUGAGAAGGAUUGACGGUACCGGAAUAGAAAGCCACGGCUAACUACGUG
rnacentral:rRNA from 1 species